UGGGAAAAUGGGCGGCACCCUCGUGGAAGCACAGGAAACGGAUACAUCACGGGAAGACAAGCAACACGAAGGCCGAGAGGUAACAGUAAGCCAGUGACCUUGUGAGCAGAGUGCGACCAGAUUCUACCAGACACCCUGGUGCAAACGCCGAGCAGAAAGAAGAUCCUAGGAUGAGAAAGGUGCAGGGACUGAAAGUUCCUAAGCACUGUGCGUCACCCGACCCUGUCUACGGCUCAGACAUUCCCGUUUGUCACGUGACUCCAGUCAGCACUAGGACGAUCCACUCAGGAGCUUCAUCUCCCAUGUGGAACCAUCCCUGGCAGAUUUCCGUGAAAGCAUUCACUUCAAAACAUUCGUCCCACCAAACACCAAAUUCACCCAAUGAGUUUUCUACGCAAAAUUUCCUGAAAAGGGUCUCGUGCCUUCAGUAACGGGAAGCAAUUGGCAAACGAGGUCUCUCACUGAACCGGGAGCAGGGCUGGCUGUUGAAGCCCUCCUGCCUUCACCUCCCACAGCACCAGGAUUAAAGGUGCAGUAUGAAGAAGACCAGCUUUCCACCCAGGGGCCAGGAUCUAAACCUAGAGCCUCAUGCUUGUGCAGUAAGUACUCUUAUCCACCGAGCCAUCUUCCCAACACCCUUGAUUGACAUUUACUAGACUGCUUAGCUAAAGACCAUUUUGGCUUGGGAAGUAAGAAGACUACCCACAUAUGAUACAGAUAUUAUAAAUGGCUCUUUUCUAAUACUUUAACACCAGAAUAAAUUUCUCUGGAUUUUACACUUUCUCUGGA